rnacentral:rRNA from 1 species
UACGUAGGUGGCGAGCGUUGUCCGGAAUUACUGGGUGUAAAGGGCGUGUAGGCGGGGAUGUAAGUCAGAUGUGAAACUCCGAAGCUUAACUUCGGAACUGCAUCUGAAACUGUGUCUCUUGAGUGCUGGAGAGGAAAGCGGAAUUCCUAGUGUAGCGGUGAAAUGCGUAGAUAUAGGAAGGAACACCAGUGGCGAAGGCGGACUUACCU